AGCAUUGAGAACUCCCUCUGGUUGGAUUCCCAAACUGCUCUGCAGGUUGCUGGCUACAGCAGACUACCAAAACAAAUCUCUUACCAUGAUCAAGGUCAGAGCCAGAUGCAUAAAUCAUGCACAGCAGCUUUGCUGGUGGAACAACUUUGGAAAAGACAAAAGUGUGAUGUUCUCUGCAAGUUCUGCUUUUGUUGCCUUGGCACUGCAGUGGGCUCAGGAGCUUCCAGGAUGAAGCUUCUCUGAAAUCUCUUGUCUCCAGGUACUCAUCUGGGUAUCAAUCUCUUCAUUAAGACAUGAGGAUUGGCUUUUCCUCAGCCAAGAUCCUCUUCAGAAGUUGGUUUAAUGAUCUGAUGUUCUGUCUGGAAGGUGAAUCUACCCAGGAAGAUUGCUACAGUGAGGCUGUAAGGUUCACCACAGAUUUGCUCUGUAUUCUAUCCACCUUAAAUAUGUGUGUGUGUAUAUGUCUAUAUAGGAAAAAAAGUGUGUUCUGCAUAUACUGCAGCACCAUGAAACAUCACUCCUAAAAUGAGAUUUUACUCCAACUCAAGGAUUUUUAAUUACAAGCUGCAUUGUUGUGGCUGCAUUUUACAUGGAAUAGAGCUUACAACAGAUAUGUCGUGUUUUAGAAUUUCCUCAUUAGAAUUAUUAUUUUUUGCUUUAUUUUUUAUGAUACUGUACAAAAGAAAUCAGACACAGUCUUACACCUUAUCCUUUUCCUGUCAAUGUAUGUGCAAAAGCAGUGUAUGUGUAUAGAGUAAGGAAAGCUUCAGUUAUUCCUGAAGAAGGUAUUUCUGAUAGACAUGGAGAAAAACUCAUCACGGAAGUGUGUUAUUUUCACUUGCUAAUGAAGAUAGGGACAGUUAAAGUUGUAAGUGGGGUAGCCACUAAAAUGAAGUACGAAGACCCAGGGUCAGUGUGAGCAACUAUAAGCUUGUAACAAGUCUAUAGUUCUUGGUGGCCAUUAAUCUUGCUGAAAUUCCUUUAUCCGUUAAUUGUAAUGUUUCUUCUAGUUCAGUGAGUUUUGACCUUUAGCACAAAUCAUUUUAUUUCUGAGGAAGGCUCAAGACUAUUUUAAUAUUUAAUCAUAAUUUUAAGCUAAUACUAGAAACAUAAGGGGACAUAUUUUCAUUUUUAGAGGUCCUACAAAAGUUAAUAGAAGGGAAUACAUUUCCAGUACAUUUUAAAGUAGAAAUAUAACACUCAGCAGAAUUCUGAUCAGUAAUUUAAACACUAAAUUCUUUAAAAUAUAUAGAUCUUCAAAGAAAAAUUUCUAGCUUGCUUUUUUAUCAUCUCCAUAAAGAGUAACAUCACUUGUCACUAAAAUCAAUAAAAUGGCGUAACAAAAUAUUUGGAAUGAGAACACAUACACAGACAGUGACAACUCUUAUGGGAAAUAUUCUUAAGAGCUUGUUCUAGACAUGUAAAGUGGGUUUUGGUCAAACAUUGCACCUUAUUGCUGAGAGCUGCUCAGGGAAAGCCUAAUAAAAAACUACAAAAACAUUGCAAUC
rnacentral:lncRNA from 7 species